AGUGAACGCUGGCGGUAGGCCUAACACAUGCAAGUCGAACGGCAGCACAGUAAGAGCUUGCUCUUACGGGUGGCGAGUGGCGGACGGGUGAGGAAUACAUCGGAAUCUACUUUUUCGUGGGGGAUAACGUAGGGAAACUUACGCUAAUACCGCAUACGACCUACGGGUGAAAGCAGGGGAUCUUCGGACCUUGCGCGAUUGAAUGAGCCGAUGUCGGAUUAGCUAGUUGGCGGGGUAAAGGCCCACCAAGGCGACGAUCCGUAGCUGGUCUGAGAGGAUGAUCAGCCACACUGGAACGGGAACACGGUCCAGACUCCUGCGGGAGGCCGCAGUGGGGAAUAUUGGACAAUGGGCGCAAGCCUGAUCCAGCCAUACCGCGUGGGUGAAGAAGGCCUUCGGGUUGUAAAGCCCUUUUGUUGGGAAAGAAAAGCAGCAGGUUAAUACCCCGCUGUUCUGACGGUACCCAAAGAAUAAGCACCGGCUAACUUCGUG
rnacentral:rRNA from 1 species